GUAACUUUCUUUUGCGUCUGUAUGAAACAUAGUUGUCGAUAGCGAAUAGCGACAAGGCAUGGCUAGGCUACGUAGCGAAUAGCGACGGCUAUUUUAUAAAUAGCGAUUACACUAGAAAAAGAUUUUUGAAAAUUUUUAUAUGUAUAUUACAUCAAAUUACCCUUGUAUAUAUGUUAUUUUACAUGUAUAUUUAACAAAAACUAAUAGUUAGUAGCAAAGGACUUAUAUGUUGGGUGUGUGAAUGAAAGUCUCAAAAGGUGGUAAAUACUUUGUCCCACAUCGGUGUGUUAACAAAGUUAGUGGUUGUUUAUAAGGUAAAGUCUUUACUACUCCAUUGUAGCUUUAUGACAUGUUUUACCACAAGUCCUACCCGCGCGCAGGGGUGGUGCAAAAAAUGAGUUUCUGAAUUGAAAUUUAACUGAACUCGUGCAUGCCCACACGAAUGCAGCUCCGAAAACCCCAGGCUCGCGUGGGCCAGUUUUUGCACAAUUUAACCUCUUUAUUUAUUUAUUUUUUGUAUUAAAGCCAAGGCCGUCAUCGCCAUUAACAGCUUAGCGACACUUGGACGCUUCGCCAUAAAGCGCGCUAUAGCGACUGCUAUGGUCGCAAUUAACAACUAUGGUCGUGGACACGCUUGGACCUAGCUUAUGGGACGUAUGGAAUUCUUUUGGGCAAUUGUGAGUCCUUAAGGUAGAACCGUUAAAAUCUCUCUCUCUCUCUCUCUCUCUCUCUCUCUUUCUUAUGUUAGUUGGUUUUAGUCCUUGCUCCUUUAUUUUGCUUUGACCUGGGUAUUUUGUUUGUCGACUCACAAAAUUAUGCAUAUUAAAAUGACAAAUUAACUUUAAAAUGGUUGGAUAGCAUCAACAUAGAUUCCCAAGACUGCAAGGUUAGAUUGAUAAUUUUAUUAUUAAUCUAUUAAAAGUUAUAUGUUCGAGUUCCUGCUUCUAAGUCUGCAGUGUAUUACUUACUACUUCCCAGGGAUUCUUUGUGCAGAAAGACUACAAAAUGUUUCCACCUUCAGUAAAUUUGGAUAAUAUUGAUUGGUCUACAACGAGGCUGCAAAUCGAUUUCCCUGUCCUGGUGGGCGUUACUAUGAAGGUUAGCACUAUUCAACUGGUCCCUUAGAAAUGUUGUUUUUGACACAAGUGGAUCCUAAAUUGGAACAAUAGCAAAGAUCUCAUCAUUUCUUUGUAAUUAUUUAAUGAUAUGAGUAUUCUACUACUCUAUAAUAAGUGGGAGUGAGGUUAGCAAAACAAGAUGGUGAUGGCGAUGGUCACUGGCGGAUACCACAUAUAGUAAAUUAUUAUUUUACAGUAAUAUUUUUUACUGUUCUAUGAAGUUGUUUUAAAUUUACAUUCUAAUAUUAUUAACAUUUUCAUUUUAUUAUGUAAUAAUGGCUCUCUAAACACAUCGUGUGAUUAAGUUAAUGAAAAGUUUGCAAGUCUUCUUAUAGCGAAGACAUUAAUA